GACGAACGCUGGCGGCGUGCUUAACACAUGCAAGUCGAACAGUGGCGACCGGGUGAGUAACACGUGAGUACCCUGCCCUCCACUUUGGGAUAACUCCGAGAAAUCGGGGCUAAUACUGGAUUGUGGGGGAUGGGCUCGCGGCCUAUCAGUUUGUUGGUUGGGUCGGGGUUACCAAGGCGAGACGGGUAGCCGGCCUGAGAGGGCGACCGGCCACACUGGGACUGGGACACGGCCCAGACUCCGACGGGAGGCAGCAGUGGGGAAUAGUGCACAAUGGGCGAAAGCCUGAUGCAGCGACGCCGCGUGGGGGAUGACGGCCUUCGGGUUGUAAACCUCUUUCAGCAAGGAAGCGGUAGUGGGAGAAGAAGCGCCGGCUAACUACGUGCCAGCAGCCGCGGUAAUUC
rnacentral:rRNA from 1 species